rnacentral:lncRNA from 1 species
CACAGCAGCGUGACAACAGACUAAUACAGACGUGGUCUCACUAUGUUGCCCGGGUGGUCUCGAACUCCCUGGGCUCAAACGGUCUACCUACCUCAGCCUCCCCAAGUGUUGGGAUUACAGGAACUUUAAGGUUCUUGACACUCCACAGAACAGUGUGCUGGCUCCUGGUAGCGAAGACACCGUGUUAACCCACCUGAUGGACAGAAAGUGCUGCUCCCGUGCCUGGUGAUGGCAGGAAAGGAGUCGCUGCAGCAACUCUGGUCACCGGGGCUUGGAUCCUUCGAGGAUGAAGGUCUGAGUCAUCCAGAAACCAACAGCCUAGCCCAGCUGCAUUGCUGUCCAGAGUAAGGAGGGUCUAAAAUGAGUGGUGAGAAAGGAGGUGAAGGACACUACUUACAGCCUUGAGACCAGCAGCAGCGGUGGAGACUGUACUUAGACUUGUCCCACCAACCCUACUGUGUAUUUUUUUUAGAGAGGGUACAACCAACCACCAAUGUGAAGAAUCGGUCCCAGGACAAGGUGGAUGCGGGGGCUGAGUGGGUCUGAGUCGUGCAAGCAGCAGGCAUAGAGUGGGCCUCUUGUCUCAGGGGCCUUGGUCUCUGCUGCUGGCAUUCUCUGGGCAGAGGUGCCCGCUUGGCUAGCGCCGGGGAGCUUGCAUCCCCAGGAACAGCCCACAGGAACCUGUGGCCAUGUACCUCAGUUUCCUGAACCUUGGUGGGGCAAUUCAGAGGGAGAUCCUGACCUGAUGCUUUUGAUUCUCAGCAUCCCUGAGGCCAAAUCGCUCCUGCUGUGACUUGAUUUGGUUGUGUAAACCAAAACUAAAAUUCUAAGCCACCCGACUGACUGAAUGGACCCAUGGACCCCCUUCUUGGCCAAAGGGACUCAAACAAACCUGAAAAAUUAGUUCAGACCGUAUGGGAAGGGAGGGGUCAGACACGCGUCGUUAUAAGCCCUCCUGCCUUUGGAGUCCAGGCACAGCUGACCAGCACGACAUUAAAACAGAGGCCUUAAGAUCGACAAACAGACUCUUGGCAGCAAUAAGAUACCAAAAUUCCAGCCUGACUCUAAUAUAGUGUCACAUGACAGAUAGCAGACCCUGAAGGAAAUCAAAGUAUUUACCCGAAAAUAUAUUUUUGACAUGGUCCUGCACAGCUGUCUCUUGUGGGGGAAAUUUGCCUCCUGUAGAGAAUCUCCUUCCCUUACUGGGUCUUUUCCAGAGAGCCUGAUAACCUUUGAAAAGUCUCAACCGGAAAUAUUUGCCAUCUAUUGCCUCUAAGCGCAGCCACCUAUGAGACUUAUCCACAUAAUAAAAACCUUGGUCUCCACAACCCCUUACCUUGUAUCUUAACCCAGACAUUCCUUUCUACAGAUGCCAGGUCUUUAGGCAAUAACUUAACUCUUUCAACCAAUUGCCAAUCAGAACCUUUGAAGGCACCUGUGACCAAUAAGUCCCCUGCUUCCAAUUGUCCUGGCUUUCCAACCCAACUACUGUAUACUUCAUAUGUAUCGACUGAUGUCUUCUAUCUACCGGAAACUGAAACAUAUAAGGCCAAGCUGUAACCCAACCCCUUGGGGCACAUGUUCUCAGGAGGUCCUGAGACUGACUCACAGGUCACAGCUCUCACACUGGACUCUGAACAAAUGUCUUCAAAUAUUUCACAGAAUUUGGCUUUUUCUGUCAACAGUGGUGUAAGCAAUUAAUUUCAAAGGGUAGCAACAAUUCCAUGCCCUUCGGUUUCUCUGAAACCUCUUUUGCUUCUAUAAUAGGAAAUGUUUAUUUGGAAACGCAAGGAAUGACGCACUUGAUGUUGUGCAUGUUGGAACAAGCUGAUUGCAUAAGAUGAGGAGUGGAGGACUAUGUCCCAGGGUCUACUGGAGUCUGUGCCCUCUAACCUGGAGGAAGACUUUCAGGACCCAUACAUGGGGUCGUUCUGUCUUUACAGAACGUGUCCCAGGCAUGUAUGGAAACACAACAUUGGGAGCAGAGAUCGCCUGUGUUUAGGCUGUGACUAUAUAGCUAGUCAUGACAUUUCUGUGAUAGGGUAUAGAUAUAUAUGUUCAAAUUCUCUAGGAGGCUGGGUGUGGUGGCUAAAACCUGUUAUCCCAGCACUUUGGGAGGCCAAGGCAGGUGGAUCACCUGAAGUCAGAAGCUGGAGACCAGCCUGCCCAACAUGGUGAAACCCUGUCUCUCCUAAAAAUACAAAAUUAGCCGGGUGUGGUGGCACACGCCUGUAGUCCCAGCUACUCAGAAGGCUGAGGCAGGAGAAUCCCUUGAACCCAGGAGGUGGAGGUUGCAGUGAGCCGAGAUCGCACCAUUGCACUCCAGCCUGGGCAAAAAUAAUGAAAUUCUGUCUCAAAAAAAAAAAAAAAAAUUAUCCAGGAGAUGCCAAGCUGUUUUCCAAAGUAUUGUUGUAAUUUACACUUUUAUCAGCAGCGGAAGAAAGCUCAUCGCUCUUCAUCCCUGCCAACUUACUCUUUUCUGACUUAAAAUUUCUGCCACCCUGAUGGGUUGGAAAUGGCAUUUCAUUUCGGUUUAAUUUGCAUUUUCCUUAUCACUAAUGCAGUUGAGCAUCUUUUUCAUUAAUUUAUUUGCCAUUUGUGCUAAUUCUGUACAUCUCUGUUUAUUUCUUUUGCCCAUUUUUAUGUUUGUUUUUUUAUCAUUUUUAUUGUGUCACAGGAUUCUUAGGAAAGACAACAUGUAUGAAAAUGUGUAUGUCUUUUGUCAGUUAUACGUAUUGCAAAUAUUUUUGCAUAACUUUACAGUAUUUUUUGUAUUGUAGUCAAAUGUAUCAACCUUUUCUGUUACAGUUUGCAUUUUUGCCCUAUUAAAGAUAUUCUUUCUCUAGAACCA